AUAUCUCUCUGUACGGGAAGGAUGAGAAGCUUCGACUAAGGUUCGAUUCGAGCGUCAGCGAGAAAGCGUUGCCGCAGGCAACGACCCGAAGGGGCGCGCAGCGCUGAGUCAUCCUUCCCCCACCACCA
rnacentral:sRNA from 1 species